UACGUAGGGUGCAAGCGUUAAUCGGAAUUACUGGGCGUAAAGCGUGCGCAGGCGGUUUUGUAAGUCUGUCGUGAAAGCCCCGGGCUCAACCUGGGAAUUGCGAUGGAGACUGCAAGGCUUGAAUCUGGCAGAGGGGGGUAGAAUUCCACGUGUAGCAGUGAAAUGCGUAGAGAUGUGGAGGAACACCGAUGGCGAAGGCGGCAUCCUGGACCGACAUUGACGCUGAGGCGCGAAAGCGUGGGGAGCGAACAGG
rnacentral:rRNA from 1 species